rnacentral:Y_RNA from 1 species
GGCUGUUCUGAGUGCAGUGGUGUUUACAACUAAUUGAUCACAACCAGUUACAGAUUUCUUUGUUCCUUCUCCAUUCCCACUGCUUCACUUGAUUAGGCUUAA